UUGUUGAUGUUGUUGUUUACUUGUGCACACUGAUAUGAUAAAGGCAGUUUUAUUUUUUUGUUUUUUAGCCAGUUAGCCAAAAAGCCAACCCUGAAAUAAUAUCAUCCCUUGUUUGAAACCCCCUUGAGCCUAUUAUCCUUUUUUUGUUUAAAACUCAUUACAAAUCGAGAAGUUAAAAACAAUGUUAUAUUACCCUAUUCAAAGGGUUGAAAGAGUCUUGUUUGGAGUUGUGUGGGGUUGAAUAAUUAUGUUUGCAAUAUUUCAGAAGUUGGUAGAAAAAGAAAAGAAAAAUAGAAAAAGAAAAUAGAAAAGAAAAAAAAUGAAUGAAAAAAAAUAGAAGGAUGUAUACAUGUCAAUACAUACUCCUUAUGAAAAAGAAAAAAAAAAAGAAAAGAAAAAAAAAGAGAAAGGAGAAAAAAUUGAAUGAAAACAGUUAAUAUAGAGUUGUUGAAGUGAAUUAAAUAUUUUGUAAAUUCAACUCCCGCAGUUUCUUUCAAGUCUCUUUUGUCUCUUUGAAUUUUAGCCUAGUACCCCUUAGGAUUUAUCUCACCCUUACCUUGGCCACGUUACAACCA
rnacentral:lncRNA from 1 species